CCCUCCCCCUGUUAAGUGGAUCUCUGGAACACCAUUUUCCCUCCCCUCCCCUCCCCUCCCCCUGUUAAGUAGAUCUCUGGAACACAGCGUUGGUGAAGCCGGAGAAAGACAACGGCGACUUCAUUCAGUCAACAGCAAUGGCGAAACGGCGAAACUUGAAGAAGACGUCAACCAUCGUGAUAUUUCUCCUAUGUCUUCUUGCUUUCACUACCGUUUUCGCCCCUCUUCCUUCCACUCUCCCCAAUUCCCUCAAACCCUACAAACAUCACCACCACCAUCAUCACCAUCAACUUGUUACUGCUCGUAAAUUUGAAAUUGCGAAUGACAUGUUCUGGAAAGACAGUGAGCCUUUUCGAAUCAUCGGUGGGGACUUGCAUUAUUUCCGUACCCUUCCUCAGUAUUGGGAAGAUAGGCUGUUAAGAGCUAAAGCUUUGGGUUUGAAUGCCAUUCAAACUUAUGUUCCAUGGAAUCUGCAUGAACCGAAAGAGGGUCAACUGGAUUUUGAUGGUAUUGCUGAUAUACUUUCAUUUCUUGACCUAUGUCACAAGUUAGAUUUGUUGGUCAUGCUACGCCCCGGGCCUUACAUUUGUGCAGAAUGGGAUUUUGGCGGUUUCCCUGCUUGGUUACUUACUAAAGAACCGGCCAUAACACUAAGAUCAUCUGACCCAAGAUACCUUGCUUUGGUUGAUAGCUGGUGGGGAGUACUACUUCCUAAAAUAGCUCAUCUUCUUUACCACAAAGGAGGACCUAUAAUUAUGGUUCAGAUUGAGAAUGAAUUUGGUUCAUACGGAGACGACAAGGAUUAUUUGCAUCAUCUGAUCAACUUAGCUCGGUCACAUCUCGGGGAUGAUAUAAUUUUAUAUACCACAGAUGGAGGCACUACGUAUACUCUCGCUAGAGGAACGAUACAAGGAGAUGCUGUAUUUUCAGCUGUCGACUUUUCAACGGGAGAGGAUCCUUGGCCUAUAUUUAAAAUUCAAAAGUUAUUUAAUGCACCAGGAAAAUCACCACCCCUUUCUGCAGAAUUUUACACUGGUUGGCUUACCCAUUGGGGGGAGAGUAUUGCUAAAACGGACGCAACUUCUACAGCAUCUGCACUGGAAAACAUCUUGUCAAAAAAUGGCUCUGCUGUGCUUUAUAUGGCUCAUGGCGGAACCAAUUUUGGAUUUUAUAGUGGUGCAAAUGCUGCCGAGGAAUCUCAGUACGAUGCUGAUCUUACAUCCUAUGAUUAUGAUGCUCCUAUUAGCGAGUCUGGUGAUGUCGAUGGGGCUAAAUUCAAAGCAUUGCGGGGGGUUAUAGCUAAGUAUAGUGCAACUUCUCUCCCUCCGGUUCCUUUAAAUAAUAAGAAAACGGGAUAUGGUCGUAUUCAAUUAGAAAAAACCUCAGCAUUAUUUGACGUUGACUUGUCAACAAAAGCUAUUGAAUCUGAGAACCCAAUUUCAAUGGAGGCUGCGGGCCAGAUGUUUGGAUUUUUAUUAUAUGCUUCGGAAUACACUGCUAAGGGCAAAGGGAGCACGUUGUCUAUACCAAAGGUGCAUGAUAGAGCCCAAGUUUAUGUUACCUGCCUUUCUGAAGAUAAGAGAGGAAAACCACACUAUGUUGGUACAAUUAAUAGAUGGUCAAAUAAGCCUGUCAACCUCCCUAAUGCUGAAUGCUCUUCCACUACCAGAUUGUUAAUUCUGGUUGAAAACAUGGGUCGUAUUAAUUAUGGACAGUAUUUGUUUGAUAGCAAGAUGGGAAACCUCUGCUCAACUGGAAAAUGCUUCCAAUUCCUCUCAGCAAUUUAAAUGAAGCCCCAAAAAACAAUCUUUCUUUCAACAAUUCGGUUUCUGCCCGUAAAACCCGCCCUGGUACAUUCCAAUUUCCAACACAUAAGGAAACAUGUGCUGUUGACAUCUAUCUAUAUUUAUAGGGUACAGAGAAAUAAUAUGAAUAAACCUUUUCCUCUAGUUAGUUAUUUUCUUUUGCAGGGUUGAGUAUAAAAGAACCAGCUUUCUAUAGUGGAAAUUUUAUUGUUGACAAAGUGACAGACACCUACAUGUCCUUCAAUGGUUGGGGUAAAGGGGUGGCAUUUGUUAAUAACUUCAAUAUCGGGAGAUACUGGCCGUCUUUUGGACCCCAGUGUAACCUCUAUGUCCCUGCUCCAGUUCUCCGACCCGGAAAUAACGUCUUGGUGAUACUUGAGUUAGAGAGACCCGAACCUAAGUUGGUGGUGAAUUCAGUUGACCGGUCAGACUUCACUUGCGGCUCGAACAAUUUGAAGCUACGACAGCUUUAACGUGGUUUAUGUGCAACCUAAAAACAUAGUUCAUGUAUCCUGUCAUUGUAAUUAUUGACUUUACAGUCUCUUGUGUGUUCUAACUAACAAACAAUACCUAAAAAUCAUGGGGACAUUGUAAUAUACCUAAAAAUCUAUUUCUAUGUCAUGUAACAUGUCACAUGUGUAA